GAUGAACGCUGGCGGCGUGCCUAAUACAUGCAAGUCGAGCGGUAAGGCCCCUUCGGGGGUACACGAGCGGCGGACGGCUGAGUAACACGUAGGAACGUACCCCAAAGUGAGGCAUAAGCACCAGAAAUGGUGUCUAAUACCGCAUGUGGCCCUCGGGCUAAAGCUCCGGCGCUUUGGGAACGGCCUGCGCAUGAUUAGCU
rnacentral:rRNA from 1 species